rnacentral:sRNA from 1 species
AUUGAGUAAACUCUUCAUGCCAUAUACAUCAUUUUCAUUAUGUUAAAGGUCUGAGCGGGAAAGUUCCGAAGAAUAGGAGUGGCUGAGUUAGCUACGGAGUUCAUUUGGGGCCGGGAAGCAGAGAGGAAGACAACGAUAAUUAUGAUGAAGAACACGUUUUUGAUGUCAGAAAGUACAACACUUCCCAUUAUGCACUGCAUGUGAGCCUCACACCUGCCCUGCAGUGGAGGAGUAGAUAGUUUACAGACUCCUGAGCCCCUUCCAGUGCUGCCUGAGGUGCCCUCUACCUGUGCCUGCCUCUCGUCUGCCAGUUUGAUUUGGACUUGUUUUUCCCACCUCAGCCCCCAUGCUCUUGUCAAACGUGUUUGGCCUCCAGCCAAACAGGGCCUGGGAGGAAAAGAGAGUCCUGCUUCUGCCUGGCUUCCCCAUCGGGGAGGGGAGUUGAGGUGACAGCCUCCUGACAGCUUAGAAAUGUGGAGGACACAGCAAGUUCUGGACAUGGCCGGCCAUAUGAAUGAUAUCUUCUCUUUCUUUGAACCAUCUCCACCUGCUCUUAUGGACACCCCGCCUUGGAGCAAGGCAAGGGAUGGGCACAACUUGGAAGAUUUUGGCUUUGUGAUCCUCAGUGUCCAGUGUCACCCAGAUGGGCCGGAAGCUGCCUUUGAAGCCAACGAAUGCCAUUUGCUCUGAAAAGCAAUGAUGAGUCUCCUGAGCAAAAGCCCUAUGAGAGGACGGCUGCCCCACCCCGUUCCAUGGCUCACCAUCGCCAGCCCCCCACGCCCACCAGGUACCGCCUAGCCACACUGCACUGUGGCCCCUUGGGAAGAGCUCUGUGCUCAGCUACUGAUGGUGCCUGACAUGUGUUUGUAUGGGGCAGGCAGGGUCUCACCUGAGCCUCACUGCCACCUAGGCAGGGUGAUGGCUUUGCUGUAGACAGGGGAGCCAUGCACAGCAGGAAAUGGGGCAAACUGUAAGGGAGGA